CGGGGAGAGUACAAAUCUACAUAAAACAAUAAAACGAGGAACUGAAAAAAGGAAAGAAAACCACGCUGAGAUGUACAAGCUGACAGGACUCAAAGCUAUCAUGCCAGCUCGGAGGUUUGGUGGACAUUUUUCAGGGUGGACAGGUGCUUCACACCUAUCUAAGCGCAUAGAGCCCUUCCAGGAAGAAGAAAAUCCACAGGGAGGUGUCCAGAUAGCUGUGAGCAGCUCCCAGAAAAGUGGACACAAUCACCACCCUAACAGAAACGUGGCCCAGGUCGGGAGAAAAAAACAAUACACCAUACAUCUCGGCCCAGAUGAAAAAUCACACGAAUCCCCAGCACAAUCAAACCAAGCCACCACCUUCAGCCUGACACAUGAUAGCCAUGAAAUGCAUCAGCCACAGCACCAAGAAU
rnacentral:lncRNA from 1 species